rnacentral:rRNA from 1 species
UUGAAACCUAGUGAUGUAUGAGUUAGUGGCGGACGGGUGAGUAACGCGUGGAGAACCUGCCGUAUACUGGGGGAUAACACUUAGAAAUAGGUGCUAAUACCGCAUAAGCGCACAGCUUCGCAUGAAGCAGUGUGAAAAACUCCGGUGGUAUACGAUGGAUCCGCGUCUGAUUAGCUGGUUGGCGGGGUAACAGCCCACCAAGGCGACGAUCAGUAGCCGGCCUGAGAGGGUGAACGGCCACAUUGGGACUGAGACACGGCCCAAACUCCUACGGGAGGCAGCAGUGGGGAAUAUUGCACAAUGGGGGAAACCCUGAUGCAGCGACGCCGCGUGAGUGAAGAAGUAUUUCGGUAUGUAAAGCUCUAUCAGCAGGGAAGAAAUACUGACCUUACGGUCAGCAGACGGUACCUGACUAAGAAGCCCCGGCUAACUACGUGCCAGCAGCCGCGGUAAUACGUAGGGGGCAAGCGUUAUCCGGAUUUACUGGGUGUAAAGGGAGCGUAGACGGCAGCGCAAGUCUGAAGUGAAAUCCCAUGGCUUAACCAUGGAACUGCUUUGGAAACUGUGCAGCUGGAGUGCAGGAGAGGUAAGCGGAAUUCCUAGUGUAGCGGUGAAAUGCGUAGAUAUUAGGAGGAACACCAGUGGCGAAGGCGGCUUACUGGACUGUAACUGACGUUGAGGCUCGAAAGCGUGGGGAGCAAACAGGAUUAGAUACCCUGGUAGUCCACGCCGUAAACGAUGAUUACUAGGUGUUGGGGGACCAAGGUCCUUCGGUGCCGGCGCAAACGCAU